CUGUCUCCCUCUCUCUUUUGCCCCUCCUCUGCUCUCUCUCUCUCUCUCACAAAAAUAAACAUUAAAAAAUUAGAACAAAACAAAACAAAAAUCACGGGCCCCAAAUGACGUCCCUCAGACCAAGUUCCCAAACCAGGCCUUGAUACCCGAUCUAAUUGCAGUUUCAACCUCUCCCAGAAAUGUAGUCUUAACCGGUCAGUCAGGAAUUUUUCAAUCAGCGCCACUGAGUCGGCCUCUUGCUCCUCUCCCACCCCUCAAAGAAAGAUGGGGUCGUCUGCAUGAUAAAACACCUUGCUUCGCCCCCCAGAAAGAGGCCAGGUCUGGAACAAUCCUUUUCUUUUGCUAAUAACCUUCCUGCUCCCACCCUCCUUCUAUAGAAACCUUCCGUCUGGUCCCACUCCUCAGAGCUCCCCUCCACGGGUAAGAUGAGAUGCUGCCCACUUCAGGAAUCACUUAAGAAAGCCAAUUAGAUCUUUAAAAUUUACUCAGUCGAAUUUUUGUUAAUUAGCAAUGCUAAAGUAGAGGCCCCUGCCAUUCCUCUUCACCCAGCACCUGGGCCCCUUUCUUCCACUUGAGAAGGCAGAAAUGCCAGAGACUCACUGGCUCGCUGUCCUUCGCCCCAGGGCAAGGGCCUUUGUCCAGGCCCAGCCAAUCAGACGUACCCUCCCAGGAGUUCGCUGGGGGGGCUGGCUGCCACGUCUGGACAACAGAGAGCCUCCUUCGAGGCUCAGGGCUCGAAGUGUCUGGGCUAUGUGAGGAUCCUGCAGUGUCUGGGCUACGGUUGGGCAGAGUCCGUUUCCUGCAAGUGAUAGAGAUGUUGUCACCAGGAAUGGCAGAAGAUGCUGCGGGGAAAUAGAGGUGGGUCCGGACUGGACAUUUGUCUGGUAGGAGCUGAAGGCGGUGGAAACCCAGCUAGGAUGAAGGGAAAGGCUCUAGCGAACCUGGCAGCCUGAAGCCACCGCUGGGGGUGUGGUGUAAUAAAAAAUACUUGUUCUUA